rnacentral:pre_miRNA from 1 species
AGGGGAGCGCCGAAUCCUGGGCUGUGUCCCCGGUGCCUUGUGCUCCGGGGCCUGUGCUGCUGGAAUCUCGUUCCCAGGUCCAGGUAGUCUCCU